GGGGGAUAUUGCGCAAUGGGGGCAACCCUGACGCAGCAACGCCGCGUGAAGGAUGAAGGUUUUCGGAUUGUAAACUUCUUUUAUUAAGGACGAAAAAUGACGGUACUUAAUGAAUAAGCUCCGGCUAACUACGUGCCAGCAGCCGCGGUAAUACGUAGGGAGCAAGCGUUGUCCGGAUUUACUGGGUGUAAAGGGUGCGUAGGCGGCUUUGCAAGUCAGAUGUGAAAUCUAUGGGCUCAACCCAUAAACUGCAUUUGAAACUGUAGAGCUUGAGUGAAGUAGAGGCAGGCGGAAUUCCCCGUGUAGCGGUGAAAUGCGUAGAGAUGGGGAGGAACACCAGUGGCGAAGGCGGCCUGCUGGGCUUUAACUGACGCUGAGGCACGAAAGCGUGGGUAGCAAACAGGAUCAGAUACCCUGGUAGUCCACGCUGUAAACGAUGAUUACUAGGUGUGGGGGGUCUGACCCCUUCCGUGCCGGAGUUAACACAAUAAGUAAUCCACCUGGGGAGUACGGCCGCAAGGUUGAAACUCAAAGGAAUUGACGGGGGCCCGCACAAGCAGUGGAGUAUGUGGUUUAAUUCGAAGCAACGCGAAGAACCUUACCAGGUCUUGACAUCCAACUAACGAAGUAGAGAUACAUUAGGUGCCCUUCGGGGAAAGUUGAGACAGGUGGUGCAUGGUUGUCGUCAGCUCGUGUCGUGAGAUGUUGGGUUAAGUCCCGCAACGAGCGCAACCCUUGCUAUUAGUUGCUACGCAAGAGCACUCUAAUAGGACUGCCGUUGACAAAACGGAGGAAGGUGGGGACGACGUCAAAUCAUCAUGCCCCUUAUGACCUGGGCUACACACGUACUACAAUGGAUGUUAACAGAGGGAAGCAAGACAGCGAUGUGGAGCAAACCCCUAAAAACAUUCUCAGUUCAGAUUGCAGGCUGCAACCCGCCUGCAUGAAGAUGGAAUUGCUAGUAAUCGCGGAUCAGCAUGCCGCGGUGAAUACGUUCCCG
rnacentral:rRNA from 1 species